rnacentral:lncRNA from 1 species
UUUUCUGUUUCAAAAUUUUUUAAAAAGAACAAAACCAGCAAUCUCUUUAUCCUCAUUUACUGGGGUAUUAUUAAAAAACAGGAUAUGCCUAUGGCCUUACUCUAUUUUGGGUACAUUAUGACACACAGACAUUAAUAUUUACCAGCUGAGGCCCUUUAAUCAGUUGUCAGUAGAAUUGAACCUGCUUGGCCAUAGGGGAAUGAGGUAAAUCUUUAGAAGCUGGUGAAUACCAGCUUUUCAAAGGACUCUUACAUGGCAGCUGACUUUCUAGCUCUGUGGUAAAACAGUGCAAUUACACAUAUAAUGGGUGCUCAGUCAGGAAAGGUGGCUUCUCUGCAGAAGUGCUGUCUGAGCCGAGAUCUCAAAUUAGACAAAGUAGAGAAGAUGGACCCAGACAGAAACAGCAUGCGCAGAGACCUCGUAGUAAAAGGCUUAUCAAGGACUGAAAGAAACCAAGGUGGCAAAGAUGAGGCGAGAGAGAUAAAGGCUAGACUGUACAUAUUAAGGUGAGCAGAGAAUGUGUUUGUUCAUCACUUAUCCCCAAUGUCUAACAGAAUUCAGUUAAUAAAACUAAUAAACCGAUAAAGGGUAUCUAUUAAAUGACCAGUUUGACAAGAUGAGUAAUUACCAUAGGCUAUUGCCUCUUCCUCUAACUCAGCCCUGGAGGUAUUACACAAAUAAGAGGGAAGUUAGAGAUCUGAGAAAUUAAAUAUGAAGAGUCCCUUGGAGAAACAGAUCAUGAUUGGGUCCCACUAUACAAGGGCAAGAAAUGGAAGUCCAGUGUAGAAAAGGGUAGAACCAUAGAAUAAAAUGUCAUUAUUAAAAGUGGAACAUUUAUAGAAUAUAGGGGGCUAUAAACUAAGGAUCCUGGUUAGGAUCCUUAUAUAUGCAUACAUAUAUACUUCAGUGUUCUAUCAGCUGAUAGGGCCUAGAAGCAACAAAACCUCAGUACCAAGAGCACAUCUAGUGCCCAGAUCUUGGUUCCUUAGUAUUAUUCUCCAAUAAAGGAAGCAGGGCUCCUUGUGAGUACCAGGAUAAAACUUACAACCAAAUGGUUGACUCUGGGACUGGGACAGGAAAAAUACAAGAUGAGCCUGAACCAUCGUAUAGGGCCAUAGUGAGAAGUGCUUAAAACAACCUCACAAUGAUGGGGGCAUAUUGAAGGGACAUAGGAGCCACCUGAAACAGCUCCCAAAGGCCAAAUCUGGAACACUUUAACAAAAUUAAGUAUUAUUGGAUUUUUUUCCUAAAGUAUAAAUUGAAUAAAUGAGGGAGAAGAGACCAAUUUCUUUCUGAAGAAUUCCAAAUAACUUAUGUAGACCUUCUACCCUCAAGGAGAACACAACUCCCCUCUCCUUAAUUAUGGGCUUCACAUAGUGACUUUAUUCCCAAAGAGUACAGUGUUGGGUGAGGGGGAGUAACUUUACAGUGGAGAAAACUGGCAAAUAAGACCUCAGCCAGGUGAUCAAGAUUAACAUCAAUAGGAGAAAAUCAUAUUGAUAGUAUACACUCUUGAUACAUGAUGAGAAUGGCACUUUACUUCUGUGUUCUCUCAAAAUUCCUUAAUGCCUAGCCUAAUCCUGAGAAAAACUCAAUCCUAAUUGAAGGGACUUUUUACAAAACACCUGACCCAAAACUCAAGCUCAUCAAAAACAAAGAAAGUCUAAGAAGCUGUCACAGCCAAGAGGAGUCUAAGGAGACGUGAUGACUAAAUGUAAUAUCCUCAAUGGGAUCCUGGAAGAAAGAACAUUAAGUGAAAACUAAAGAAAUCUGGAUAAGGGCCAUUUCUUUCUUUUUUUUUUUUUUGAGGAAGAUUAGCCCUGAGCCAACAUCUUCUGCCAAUCCUCCUCUUUUUGCUGAAGAAGACUGGCCCUGAGCUAACAACCAUGCCUAUCUUCCUCUACUUUAUAUGUGGGACACCUGCCACAGCAUGGCUUGCCAAGUGGUGCCAUGUCCACACCCAGGAUCUGAACUGGCGGACCGCAGGCUGCCGAAGUGGAACAUGUGAACUUAACCGCUGUGCCACAGAGCUGGCCCCAUAGAGGCCAUUUCUAUUUCCCUACUUGGGACUGAGGGUCAGGCUCUGCUGGAAACUGAAGACUGCUGUUCUUUCUUGGGACCUCUUUCUUAG